rnacentral:rRNA from 1 species
UACGGAAGGCAGCAGUGGGGAAUAUUGCACAAUGGGCGCAAGCCUGAUGCAGCCAUGCCGCGUGUAUGAAGAAGGCCUUCGGGUUGUAAAGUACUUUCAGCGGGGAGGAAGGCGGUAAGGUUAAUAACCUUAUCGAUUGACGUUACCCGCAGAAGAAGCACCGGCUAACUCCGUGCCAGCAGCCGCGGUAAUACGGAGGGUGCAAGCGUUAAUCGGAAUUACUGGGCGUAAAGCGCACGCAGGCGGUCUGUCAAGUCGGAUGUGAAAUCCCCGGGCUUAACCUGGGAACUGCAUUCGAAACUGGCAGGCUAGAGUCUUGUAGAGGGGGUAGAAUUCCAGGUGUAGCGGUGAAAUGCGUAGAGAUCUGGAGGAAUACCGGUGGCGAAGGCGGCCCCUGGACAAAGCUGACGCUCAGGUGCGAAAGCGUGGGGAGCAAACG